UACGUAGGGGGCUAGCGUUGUCCGGAAUCAUUGGGCGUAAAGCGCGCGUAGGCGGCCCGGUAAGUCCGCUGUGAAAGUCAAAGGCUCAACCUUUGAAUGUCAGCGGAUACUGCCGGGCUAGAGUCCGGAAGAGGCGAGUGGAAUUCCUGGUGUAGCGGUGGAAUGCGCAGAUAUCAGGAGGAACACCCGUAGCGAAGGCGGCACUCUGGGCCGAUACUGACACUGAGGAGCGAAAGCGUGGGGAGCGAACAGG
rnacentral:rRNA from 1 species